rnacentral:rRNA from 1 species
CCUACGGGCGGCAGCAGUGGGGGAUAUUGCACAAUGGGGGGAACCCUGAUGCAGCGACGCCGCGUGGGUGAAGGAGUGCUUCGGCAUGUAAAGCCCUAUCGGCAGGGAAGAAGCAAGACGGUACAUGACAAAGAAGCCCCGGCUAACUACGUGCCAGCAGCCGCGGUAAUACGUAGGGGGCGAGCGUUAUCCGGAUUCACUGGGUGUAAAGGGAGCGUAGACGGCCAUGCAAGCCAGGGGUGAAAGCCCGGGGCCCAACCCCGGGACUGCUCUUGGAACUGGGCGGCUAGAGUGCGGGAGGGGCAGGCGGAAUUCCUGGUGUAGCGGUGAAAUGCGUAGAUAUCAGGAGGAACACCGGCGGCGAAGGCGGCCUGCUGGACUGCGACUGACGUUGAGGCUCGAAAGCGUGGGGAGCGAACAGGAUUAGAUACCCUAGUAGUC